rnacentral:rRNA from 1 species
GAUGAACGCUAGCUACCGUCUUAACACAUGCAAGUCGAGGGGCAGCAUGGUCUUAGCUUGCUAAGGCCGAUGGCGACCGGCGCACGGGUGAGUAACACGUAUCCAACCUGCCGUCUACUCUUGGACAGCCUUCUGAAAGGAAGAUUAAUACAAGAUGGCAUCAUGAGUCCACAUGUUCACAUGAUUAAAGGUAUUCCGGUAGACGAUGGGGAUGCGUUCCAUUAGAUAGUAGGCGGGGUAACGGCCCACCUAGUCUUCGAUGGAUAGGGGUUCUGAGAGGAAGGUCCCCCACAUUGGAACUGAGACACGGUCCAAACUCCUACGGGAGGCAGCAGUGAGGAAUAUUGGUCAAUGGGCGAGAGCCUGAACCAGCCAAGUAGCGUGAAGGAUGACUGCCCUAUGGGUUGUAAACUUCUUUUAUAAAGGAAUAAAGUCGGGUAUGGAUACCCGUUUGCAUGUACUUUAUGAAUAAGGAUCGGCUAACUCCGUGCCAGCAGCCGCGGUAAUACGGAGGAUCCGAGCGUUAUCCGGAUUUAUUGGGUUUAAAGGGAGCGUAGAUGGAUGUUUAAGUCAGUUGUGAAAGUUUGCGGCUCAACCGUAAAAUUGCAGUUGAUACUGGAUAUCUUGAGUGCAGUUGAGGCAGGCGGAAUUCGUGGUGUAGCGGUGAAAUGCUUAGAUAUCACGAAGAACUCCGAUUGCGAAGGCAGCCUGCUAAGCUGCAACUGACAUUGAGGCUCGAAAGUGUGGGUAUCAAACAGG